AGCGGGGCUCCCAGGGCCUAAGAGCCCCCAGCGCCAAGGGCGCCCCGCUUCCUGCUCGCCCUCCUGGAUGCAGUGAGAGCCCCCGGGGGUCUCGUCCGGGACCCGCGAAGGAACAGCAGGACGCCCCAGGAAGGACUUCGGCUGUUUGACAUGGAUCCUGACGACUAACGAAGGGGAUGCCAAUGCCAAACUUCCCUCUGUUGUGCGACUGUUAUUUGAUCUUCUCUCAAGGGCCAGGAUCUUAGGAACAAAGACUCCCAGACAGGAAAUUGAAACGCAGAGGGAGACUGCCACAUGAUGAUGGAGUGAGGAUUCUGCAAGCCAAGGAACACAGGAAGACUGCCAGAAAACUGCCAGCAGCCAGGAGAGGGGCAGGAACCAGCCCACUCAGCUCUGAGGGGGCUCAAUCCUGCUGACAUCUUCACCUCUGACUGCCAGCAGAACUGUGGGGCAGCACGCUUCUGUUGGCUAAGGGGCCUGAUUUGAGGCGCUUCAUUAACGUGGUUCUAGAAAACUAGGGUAAUGAGAGAGACCAUAUAGCAUGGCCCUUCGUGAAGCCCGGAUUUCCGGCUCACAAAAAUAAAAAGAUGACCUGCAAGGU